UACGUAGGGUGCAAGCGUUGUCCGGAAUUAUUGGGCGUAAAGAGCGUGUAGGCGGCCAGACAGGUCAGCUGUGAAAACUCGAGGCUCAACCUCGAGACGUCGGUUGAAACCGUCUGGCUAGAGUCCGGAAGAGGAGAGUGGAAUUCCCGGUGUAGCAGUGAAAUGCGUAGAUAUCAAGUGGAACACCAGUGGCGAAGGCGAGUCUCUGGACAUUUCCUGACGCUGAGGCACGAAAGCCAGGGGAGCAAACGGG
rnacentral:rRNA from 1 species